rnacentral:rRNA from 1 species
GUAGUCCACGCCCUAAACGAUGUCAACUAGUUGUCGGGUCUUCAUUGACUUGGUAACGUAGCUAACGCGUGAAGUUGACCGCCUGGGGAGUACGGUCGCAAGAUUAAAACUCAAAGGAAUUGACGGGGACCCGCACAAGCGGUGGAUGAUGUGGAUUAAUUCGAUGCAACGCGAAAAACCUUACCUACCCUUGACAUGUAUGGAACCCUGCUGAGAGGUGGGGGUGCCCGAAAGGGAGCCAUAACACAGGUGCUGCAUGGCUGUCGUCAGCUCGUGUCGUGAGAUGUUGGGUUAAGUCCCGCAACGAGCGCAACCCUUGUCCCUAGUUGCUACGCAAGAGCACUCUAGGGAGACUGCCGGUGACAAACCGGAGGAAGGUGGGGAUGACGUCAAGUCCUCAUGGCCCUUAUGGGUAGGGCUUCACACGUCAUACAAUGGUCGGAACAGAGGGUCGCCAACCCGCGAGGGGGAGCCAAUCCCAGAAAACCGAUCGUAGUCCGGAUCGCACUCUGCAACUCGAGUGCGUGAAGCUGGAAUCGCUAGUAAUCGCGGAUCAGCAUGCCGCGUGAAUACGUUCCGGUCUGUACACACGCCGUCACACCAUGGGAGUGGGUUUUAACCNGAAGUGCUAGUCUAACGCAAGGAGACGGUCACACGGUAGAUUCAUGAC